AGCAGAUGAAAGGAAUGUACCCACAUCAUUGCAUGCGCCAGGGGAUAAACCAGUGGACAAUGGUAGUAGGUCAAGUAGUUCUAGCAGCUCAAGCAGUGAUUCCGGGUCCUCCUCAACUGAUUCUGAUACUGAAAGCUCCUCAGCAUCCGGAUCUGAUGCAGGAUCACAAGGAACCUGAUUAUAUUCUGUCAGUUUUCUGGUAUUUAGAGUUAGCUAAUGAUGAGAUGGUUGCCUAAUUUGAUGAUCUGAAGCCGAAGCUUCCAAUAUUAUGGCUCUAAAUUUUACAGCUGAUGUAUAGAGGAAGCAUUCUCAUGCCAACAGUGAUCCUACCAACGCAAUUCAGGAUUCUUGGUGUUAUGCAAAGAAAUUCUGUAAUUCCAAGUUCUUGGAGUAAUUAUUGGUUCACAUGAAA